ACGAUAGUGUUGUGGCAAUACGCACCGCGAAGCUAAUAGCAUUAAUUAUUGCGCGUGCGCCCGCUACCGUCCGUGCGGUGUAGACAAACGGUAACAGUGUGAACGUGUCACAAAAAUGCGCGUCCCGACACAAUGUCGGUUUGGCCCGCGAACGGAAAAAAAAAAAAACAAUAUCUCCGCGACGUGUACCCGGACGGCGGCGCGAGAGAUGUCUCGUUUUCUGCGCAACGGUUUCGGUGAGAUUUCCAAUAG